AAGAGACAGCAGCAGCCGCGGUAAAACAGAGGGUGCGAGCGUUAAUCGGAUUUACUGGGCGUAAAGCGUGCGUAGGCGGCUUCUUAAGUCGGAUGUGAAAUCCCUGAGCUUAACUUAGGAAUUGCAUUCGAUACUGGGAAGCUAGAGUAUGGGAGAGGAUGGUAGAAUUCCAGGUGUAGCGGUGAAAUGCGUAGAGAUCUGGAGGAAUACCGAUGGCGAAGGCAGCCAUCUGGCCUAAUACUGACGCUGAGGUACGAAAGCAUGGGGAGCAAACAGGAUUAGAUACCCCCGUAGUCCCUGUCUCUUAUAA
rnacentral:rRNA from 1 species